rnacentral:rRNA from 1 species
UGGGGAAUUUUGCACAAUGGGGGAAACCCUGAUGCAGCGACGCCGCGUGAUUUAGAAGGCCUUCGGGUUGUAAAAAUCUUUUCUAUGGGAAGAAAAUGACAGUACCAUAGGAAUAAGGACCGGCUAAUUACGUGCCAGCAGCCGCGGUAAUACGUAAGGUCCGAGCGUUGUCCGGAAUCAUUGGGCGUAAAGGGUACGUAGGCGGGUAAGCAAGUUAGGAGUGAAAUCCUAUAGCUCAACUAUAGUAAGCUUUUAAAACUGCUCAUCUUGAGGUAUGGAAGGGAAAGUGGAAUUCCUAGUGUAGAGGUGAAAUGCGCAGAUAUUAGGAGGAAUACCGGUGGCGAAGGCGACUUUCUGGCCAUAACCUGACGCUGAGGUACGAAAGCGUGGGUAGAAAACAGG